rnacentral:rRNA from 1 species
GACGAACGCUGGCGGCGCGCCUAAUACAUGCAAGUCGAGCGAGAAGACGUAGCAAUACGUUUGUAAAGCGGCGAACGGGUGAGGAAUACAUGGGUAACCUACCCUCGAGUGGGGAAUAACUAGCCGAAAGGUUAGCUAAUACCGCAUACGACUCUCGGUCUGCGGAUCGGGAGGGAAAGCGAUACCGUGGGUAUCGCGCUCAUGGAUGGGCUCAUGUCCUAUCAGCUUGUUGGUGAGGUAAUGGCUCACCAAGGCUUCGACGGGUAGCUGGUCUGAGAGGACGAUCAGCCACACUGGCACUGCGACACGGGCCAGACUCCUACGGGAGGCAGCAGUAAGGAAGAUUGCGCAAUGGGCGACAGCCUGACGCAGCGACGCCGCGUGGGGGAUGAAGGUCUUCGGAUUGUAAACCCCUUUCGGCAGGGAAGAUGGAACGGGUAACCGUUCGGACGGUACCUGCAGAAGCAGCCACGGCUAACUUCGUGCCAGCAGCCGCGGUAACAC